rnacentral:rRNA from 1 species
UACAGAGGUCUCGAGCGUUAGGCGGAAUCACUGGGCUUAAAGCGUGUGUAGGCGGAUUGGUAAGUACUUUGUGAAAUCCCACGGCUCACCCGUGGAACUGCUGGGCAUACUGGGCGUCUUGGGCCAACUAGGGGCAGCCGGAACAAGCGGUGGAGCGGUGAAAUGCGUAGAUAUCGCUUGGAACGCCGAAGGUGAAAACAGGCUGCUGGGGUUGCGCCGACGCUGAGACACGAAAGCCAGGGGAGCAAACGGG